rnacentral:piRNA from 1 species
UUCGUAUCCUCGCUGGCAUUGU